rnacentral:lncRNA from 1 species
AUUUCCAAUUGAUGAUGUUACCUCUUUAACCGCUGUGCUCCAUAAAUUUAGAAACUCCAGAUGUUCCAUAGCCUCCGAGAUUUCUGGGAAGUGUUCAAGGUUAGAGCAACGACUGAGAUCAAGGCUCUCCAGAGAUUUCAACUUCCAAAUGUUCGUUGGGAGACUCACAAGGUUGUUGCAAUCACCAAGAUCUAAUUUUCGAAGCUCAACUAGAUUUCCAAUUGAUGGGGGUAGCUCUUUAACCGCUGUAAAUGAUAAAUUUAGAAACUCCAGAUGUUCCAUAGCCUCCGAGAUUUCUGGGAAGUGUUCAAGGUUAGAGCAACGACUGAGAUCAAGGCUCUCCAGAUAUUUCAACUUCCAAAUGUUCGUUGGGAGACUCACAAGGCUUUUGCAAUUGAUCAGUUUAAUUGCAGUGAGACCAACAAACUUUAUUGAUUUAUUCCUCAAUUCUUUUAUUGUUGUACCACUCAAUUCUA